UACUACCGGCCAUACCACGUUGAAAAAACCGGUUCUCGUCUGAUAACCGAAGUUUAGCAACGUUGGGUUUGGUUAGGACUCGCCGAUUUCUAAAAUCAUAUAUUAC
rfam:Macrostomum lignano uti_cns_0007858, whole genome shotgun sequence.